GACAGAGGGUGCAAACGUUGUUCGGAUUUACUGGGCGUAAAGCGCGUGUAGGCGGCUUCGCAAGUUGGAUGUGAAAGCCCGGGGCUCAACUCCGGAACUGCCUUUAAGACUGCAUCGCUUGAAUCCGGGAGAGGUGAGUGGAAUUCCGAGUGUAGAGGUGAAAUUCGUAGAUAUUCGGAAGAACACCAGUGGCGAAGGCGGCUCACUGGACCGGUAAUUGACG
rnacentral:rRNA from 1 species